rnacentral:rRNA from 1 species
CCCUUAGAUGUCCUGGGCUGCACGCGCGCUACACUGACACGUUCAACGAGUCUACCUGUCCCGUUAGGGUUGGGUAAUCUUUUGAAAGCGUGUCGUGAUGGGGAUAGAUUAUUGCAAUUAUUAAUCUUCGACGAGGAAUUCCUAGUAAGUGCAAGUCAUCAGCUUGCGCUGAUUAUGUCCCUGCCCUUUGUACACACCGCCCGUCGCUCCUACCGAUUGGGUGAUCCGGUGAAUAACUCGGAUUGCGGCAAUUUGGGCAACUGAAUCGCCGUGAGAAGUUUAGUGAACCUUAUCACUUAGAGGAAGGAGANGUCGUAACA